UACGUAGGGGGCUAGCGUUAUCCGGAAUUACUGGGCGUAAAGGGUGCGUAGGUGGUUUCUUAAGUCAGAGGUGAAAGGCUACGGCUCAACCGUAGUAAGCCUUUGAAACUGAGAAACUUGAGUGCAGGAGAGGAGAGUAGAAUUCCUAGUGUAGCGGUGAAAUGCGUAGAUAUUAGGAGGAAUACCAGUUGCGAAGGCGGCUCUCUGGACUGUAACUGACACUGAGGCACGAAAGCGUGGGGAGCAAACAG
rnacentral:rRNA from 1 species